AGCAGCAGCCGCGGUAAAACGAAGGGUGCAAGCGUUACUCGGAAUUACUGGGCGUAAAGCGUGCGUAGGUGGUGGUUUAAGUCCGUUGUGAAAGCCCUGGGCUCAACCUGGGAAUUGCAGUGGAUACUGGGUCACUAGAGUGUGGUAGAGGAUAGUGGAAUUUCCGGUGUAGCAGUGAAAUGCGUAGAGAUCGGAAGGAACAUCUGUGGCGAAGGCGACUAUCUGGGCCAACACUGACACUGAGGCACGAAAGCGUGGGGAGCAAACAGGAUUAGAUACCCGGGUAGUCCCUGUCUCUUAUAC
rnacentral:rRNA from 1 species